ACAAUAAGCGGAGGAAAAGAAACCAACUGGGAUUACCUUAGUAACGGCGAGUGAAGCGGUAAAAGCUCAAAUUUGAAAUCUGGUACUUUCAGUGCCCGAGUUGUAAUUUGUAGAAUUUGUCUUUGAUUAGGUCCUUGUCUAUGUUCCUUGGAACAGGACGUCAUAGAGGGUGAGAAUCCCGUUUGGCGAGGAUACCUUUUCUCUGUAAGACUUUUUCGAAGAGUCGAGUUGUUUGGGAAUGCAGCUCAAAGUGGGUGGUAAAUUCCAUCUAAAGCUAAAUAUUGGCGAGAGACCGAUAGCGAACAAGUACAGUGAUGGAAAGAUGAAAAGAACUUUGAAAAGAGAGUGAAAAAGUACGUGAAAUUGUUGAAAGGGAAGGGCAUUUGAUCAGACAUGGUGUUUUUUGCAUGCACUCGCCUCUCGUGGGCUUGGGCCUCUCAAAAAUUUCACUGGGCCAACAUCAAUUCUGGCAGCAGGAUAAAUCAUUAAGAAUGUAGCUACUUCGGUAGUGUUAUAGCUUUUUGGAAUACUGUUAGCCGGGAUUGAGGACUGCGCUUCGGCAAGGAUGUUGGCAUAAUGGUUAAUGCCCGAG
rnacentral:rRNA from 1 species